UACGGAGGGUGCGAGCGUUGUCCGGAAUCACUGGGCGUAAAGGGCGCGUAGGCGGCGCGGGAAGUCAUCGGUGAAAGUUCAGGGCUCAACUCUGAAUCGGCCGGUGAUACUCUCGUGCUCGAGCACUGUAGAGGCAGGUGGAAUUCCGGGUGUAGCGGUGGAAUGCGUAGAGAUCCGGAAGAACACCGAUGGCGAAGGCAAUCCCCUGGACCUGUACUGACGCUCAUGCACGAAAGCGUGGGGAGCAAACAGG
rnacentral:rRNA from 1 species